AAAAAAGGAACAUAUGUUGUAAUAGAAGUUAAAGUUUCAACUCAAGAAGGAAGAGAAAUAACCUGUCAAAGAUAUCUGAUGACAAAUUACGAAAGUGCUCCUCCGUCUUCACAGUAUAAAAAGAUUAUUUGCAUGGGUGCAAAAAUAAAAAUGGUUUGCCGCUGGAGUAUCAAGAGAAGUUAAAAGCAAUAGAACCAAAUGACUAUACAGGAAAGGUCUCAGAAGAAAUUGAAGACAUCAUCAAAAAGGGAGAAACACAAACUCUUUAGAACAUAACAGAAUAUAUCUAAGGAUAUUCUAUGUGCUAAUAUAAAAUAUUUUUUAACACUUGAGAACAGGGAUCUGGAGGAUCUCCAUGUUUGAUCCAUUUUCAACAGUGCUCUGAAGGAAUAUCGCACUUGGGUGACUCCUUGUUUUCAGACUAUAAAAAUAGACCGGGUUAGGAGUUAGACAGUUUAAAAGGGGGAUAUGGGGCCCUGAAGUGUGUGACAAAUGAAUCAUGUACAGACAGAACUCAUGAUUUUAUGGAUACGGGCAGACUAUCUCUGGAAGGAUACAGAAGAAAUGAGGAAAAGCCUCUUGAGGAAUGACUUGCAGACUGACCCCAGAUCUCGUGAUGGCGCUUUCCGACUACUCAUCCUUGAAUGAAGUGAUUUUUCCUUUGCACGCAGUCUGGUGGGGAAGGCCAGGGUCAGGUUCCACUUUCUGGAAUGUUCUCAUGACCCAGGAAGUGGUUAAGAGACUCCUUUAGGCAGAGGACAGGCAGGUGGAGGGCUGUGUGCAUCCCAGUGUCUCUUCUGUCUCCUGCCACCCGGAUAGGCCAAUUCUAGCAUGCAACUUGUCUGGAAUUCCUGUUUGCUAAGGAAUCUACUUCUCCCCAUCAGAGCUCUCCCUUUAAACUAAAGAGUUUCUGCACAGCAAAAGAAACUACCAUCAGAGUGAACAGGCAACCUACAAAAUGGGAGAAAAUUUUUGCAACCUACUCAUCUGACAAAGGGCUAAUAUCCAGAAUCUGCAAUGAACUCAAACAAAUUUACAAGAAAAAAACAACCCCAUCAAAAAGUGGGCAAAGGACAUGAACAGACACUUCUCAAAAGAAGACAUUUAUGCAGCCAACAGACACAUGAAAAAAUGCUCACCAUCACUGGCCAUCAGAGAAAUGGAAAUCAAAACCACAAUGAGAUACCAUCUCACACCAGUUAGAAUGGCAAUCAUUCAAAAGUCAGGAAACAACAGGUGCUGGAGAGGAUGUGGAGAAAUAGGAACACUUUUACACUGUUGGUGGGACUGUAAACUAGUUCAACCCUUGUGGAAAUCAGUGUGGCGAUUCCCCAGGGAUCUAGAACUAGAAAUACCAUUUGACCCAGCCAUCCCAUUACUGGGUAUAUACCCAAAGGACUAUAAAUCAUGCUGCUAUAAAGACACAUGCACACGUAUGUUUAUUGCAGCACUAUUCACAAUAGCAAAGACUUGGAACCAACCCAAAUGUCCAACAAGGAUAGACUGGAUUAAGAAAAUGUGGCACGUAUACACCAUGGAAUACUAUGCAGCCAUAAAAAAUGAUGAGUUCAUGUCCUUUGUAGGGACAUGGAUGAAAUUGGAAAUCAUCAUUCUCAGUAAACUAUCGCAAGAACAAAAAACCAAACACCACAUAUUCUCACUCAUAGGUGGGAAUUGAACAGUGAGAACACAUGGACACAGGAAGGGGAACAUCACACUCUGGGGACUGUUGUGGGGUGGGGGGAGGGGGGAGGGAUAGCUUUAGGAGAUAUACCUAAUGCUAAAUAACGAGUUAAUGGGUGCAGCACACCAGCAUGGCACAUGUAUACAUAUGUAACUAACCUGCACAUUGUGCACACGUACCCUAAAACUUAAAGUAUAAUAAAAAAAAAAAAGAAGUCAAACCA